rnacentral:rRNA from 1 species
GGAUGAGCCCGCGGCCUAUCAGCUUGUUGGUGGGGUAAUGGCCUACCAAGGCUUCGACGGGUAGCCGGCCUGAGAGGGCGACCGGCCACACUGGGACUGAGACACGGCCCAGACUCCUACGGGAGGCAGCAGUGGGGAAUAUUGCACAAUGGGCGAAAGCCUGAUGCAGCGACGCCGCGUGAGGGAUGACGGCCUUCGGGUUGUAAACCUCUUUCAGCAGGGAAGAAGCGAAAGUGACGGUACCUGCAGAAGAAGCGCCGGCUAACUACGUGCCAGCAGCCGCGGUAAUACGUAGGGCGCAAGCGUUGUCCGGAAUUAUUGGGCGUAAAGAGCUCGUAGGCGGUCUGUCGCGUCGGAUGUGAAAGCCCGGGGCUUAACCCCGGGUCUGCAUUCGAUACGGGCAGACUAGAGUGUGGUAGGGGAGAUCGGAAUUCCUGGUGUAGCGGUGAAAUGCGCAGAUAUCAGGAGGAACACCGGUGGCGAAGGCGGAUCUCUGGGCCCUUACUGAC